CACACAGGGAGCCGUGUGAGGGGAAGGUGCUCCGGCAGGGCCGUGCACACACAGCUGCAGGGUGUCUGCAGCCUUUGAGGGUGUUGGGUUUUCUGGUCAGCAGCAAUUCUGCUGCCAUCAGGUGUAACCUGAAGUUGGAGCUUCAGGAAAGUUAGUAAUGGCUUAUGAGCUUCGGUACUACAGUGGUGAGGAGAGCAAAAGAUUAUGUAAUUGUUCUGUGGGUUUAAUUGUUUCCAGUGUCCUUUCACUGCUCCAUGGCUCAUCACUGAUUCAGCUUGUCUGAUGCUUCUUGUGACUCACCUGUGGGAAAUCGCUUUUCCGGUUUAUGACAUCUCCACUUCAUUUUAUCUACCUGGCCUAUUUCCUAAACCAGAAAGCUGAAGCAAAAUCACUAGCUUGGACCUUGCAACUGGCAAGAUGCAGGCUGGCCAAGGUGGGAAAGAAAGGUGGGAAAGCUUUGAAGAGGCCUGAGCAAUGCUAAUGAUGUGAUAGCCCAGGAGUGCAAUGAAGAAUGUUCCUACUUGUGUACGAAAAAAUGUCCCCUACCCUUAAACUUAGUUACCUCCUGGAUGCAAGGACUCUUCAGAUUGCAUCAGUGGUUAUCAGAAUAGGUAAAAGGGCAUCUGAAAAUUGUCAGUUGUUCAUUACAGUGUGCUGGAAAUCCAUGGUGCGUCCUAUAGAGCAAGCUGAGGGUAUUAACAACCAAGCAUUUCCUUAGUUGGAAUUUUCACUAUCAGUGCAUUUGACACCGGCUUUCAGGAGCUCAAACCACUUCUCAGAUUGCUGACUUCAGCAACUUCAUCUGCAAAAUUCUGCUGAGCUGAGCUGAAUGUACACUUGUGUCUAUUGCUCAGACGCUCUUUUUGUACUUUCUCUGUAUCAGUGAGAAGUAGGAAAGAAGAACCGAAGGCUAAGACUCAUCAGCUUAGAUUAAAUUCACAUCAUCAUAAACUAGGAAAGGAUUUCUAAACAGAUCAGUCUAUUUCCCUUCUUUGGCUCCCUUUAAAUGACCUUGUGAGAAUGGAGGAAGGAGUAUGUUUCAGAUGUUUGUGAUUUUA